ACGCAACGCGGAUAUCUCAUCCCGGCACACCGCUAGCGCACGAUUUUGUUCCAGGACGAGACGUUCCCAAUCCGAGGCGCCCGCUGCCUCCAUAGUACGGCGAAGUAAUCUGUUACGAAGCGCUGACGGAGACAAGCGCGGGCGAGCGAAGAGAUGGCGUGUGACCGAACACAGGACGAGAAUCGACUCGGGACCGAGCAGAUGGUGUGAAGCUGGAUGUGAAGCAGGACACUGAAAAUCCUACAAGAACAAUUUGCUGUUCUUUAAAAAUGUCCUGGGUCACUGCAGUUUCCAUUACUGAGUGGUGAACAGAACAGAAG
ensembl:lncRNA